CUUCACUGUGAACACGGGCAGGACUGCUGAUAAGACACCCCAAAGGUCUGUCUUCUCCAGGCUAAUCAAGCCACCUACCCAAGAAAGUCCUAACAGGGCAAGCAUUCCAGUCCUGGACCUCCUCAGUGGCAAAUGAAUGUAUCAGGAUAUUUCUUAUGCUGAUUUUCAGUGAUUUCAGUGAUACUUGUUGGCCUGAGGAAUAAAAGAUGAAGACAGAGCCAUGCCUAACAUGGGCUGAGGUUAUCCUUCUGCAUGCAGCCUGGGCCAAGGCCCUGCAGAGAAUAAGAGGCUCUCAAAUCUGCAUCACAAGUGGCAGCCCCUCUCAGGGCAAUAAAUGGCAAAGCUACCACAUUC